GAUGAAGAACGCAGCGAAAUGCGAUAAGUAAUGUGAAUUGCAGAGUUCAGUGAAUCAUCGAAUCUUUGAACGCACAUUGCGCCCGUCAGUAUUCUGACGGGCAUGCCUGUCCGAGCGUCAUUUCAACCCUCAAGCACAGCUUGGUGUUGGCGGAUUGCGUGCCCUCGCGGCGCUGCAACCGCCCAAAUACAGUGGCGGUCCCGCUGCGGCUCCCUUUGCGUAGUAACUCACCUCGCACUGGACCGGGCGGCGGCCUGCCGUAAAACCCCAACUUACGGAAUGUUGACCUCGGAUCAGGUAGGAAUACCCGCUGAACUUAAGCAUAUCAAUAAGCGGAGGA
rnacentral:misc_RNA from 1 species